rnacentral:rRNA from 1 species
GAUUGAACGCUGGCGGCAGGCCUAACACAUGCAAGUCGAACGGCAGCACAGAAGAGCUUGCUCUUUGGGUGGCGAGUGGCGGACGGGUGAGUAAUGUCUGGGAAACUGCCCGAUGGAGGGGGAUAACUACUGGAAACGGUAGCUAAUACCGCAUAACGUCGCAAGACCAAAGUGGGGGACCUUCGGGCCUCACACCAUCGGAUGUGCCCAGAUGGGAUUAGCUAGUAGGUGGGGUAAUGGCUCACCUAGGCGACGAUCCCUAGCUGGUCUGAGAGGAUGACCAGCCACACUGGAACUGAGACACGGUCCAGACUCCUACGGGAGGCAGCAGUGGGGAAUAUUGCACAAUGGGCGCAAGCCUGAUGCAGCCAUGCCGCGUGUAUGAAGAAGGCCUUCGGGUUGUAAAGUACUUUCAGCGGGGAGGAAGGCGGUGAGGUUAAUAACCUUGCCGAUUGACGUUACCCGCAGAAGAAGCACCGGCUAACUCCGUGCCAGCAGCCGCGGUAAUACGGAGGGUGCAAGCGUUAAUCGGAAUUACUGGGCGUAAAGCGCACGCAGGCGGUCUGUUAAGUCAGAUGUGAAAUCCCCGGGCUUAACCUGGGAACUGCAUUUGAAACUGGCAGGCUUGAGUCUCGUAGAGGGGGGUAGAAUUCCAGGUGUAGCGGUGAAAUGCGUAGAGAUCUGGAGGAAUACCGGUGGCGAAGGCGGCCCCCUGGACGAAGACUGACGCUCAGGUGCGAAAGCGUGGGGGAGCAAACAGGAUUAGAUACCCUGGUAGUCCACGCCGUAAACGAUGUCGACUUGGAGGUUGUGCCCUUGAGGCGUGGCUUCCGGAGCUAACGCGUUAAGUCGACCGCCUGGGGAGUACGGCCGCAAGGUUAAAACUCAAAUGAAUUGACGGGGGCCCGCACAAGCGGUGGAGCAUGUGGUUUAAUUCGAUGCAACGCGAAGAACCUUACCUGGCCUUGACAUCCAGAGAACUUAGCAGAGAUGCUUUGGUGCCUUCGGGAACUCUGAGACAGGUGCUGCAUGGCUGUCGUCAGCUCGUGUUGUGAAAUGUUGGGUUAAGUCCCGCAACGAGCGCAACCCUUAUCCUUUGUUGCCAGCGGUUCGGCCGGGAACUCAAAGGAGACUGCCGGUGAUAAACCGGAGGAAGGUGGGGAUGACGUCAAGUCAUCAUGGCCCUUACGGCCAGGGCUACACACGUGCUACAAUGGCGCAUACAAAGAGAAGCGACCUCGCGAGAGCAAGCGGACCUCACAAAGUGCGUCGUAGUCCGGAUUGGAGUCUGCAACUCGACUCCAUGAAGUCGGAAUCGCUAGUAAUCGUAGAUCAGAAUGCUACGGUGAAUACGUUCCCGGGCCUUGUACACACCG